rnacentral:lncRNA from 1 species
ACUUAAGAAAUUAAACAGUAUAUAUAUUUAUUAAGUAGCUUUAAAUUUAUUAUUUUAGAUCGAAUCGGAUUUUUGUUAGAAAAAUAUAUUAUUGUUUUUCAUAUUGGGUUUUUGUUAGAAAAUAUAUAUUUUAAAUUGACAAUCGAAUUAGUUCAUUGUAUUCAUAUAGGGUCAAGGAGUGUAGCUGUAAAAAAUCAUCAAAAUCGGAGUAAAAAUAACCGUUAAAUAGUGAUUUUUUAUUAUAACCGUCGAAAAGUUUUGUACCAUUACUUGAUCUCUGAAUGUUUAUUUUUUUCGAUUUUUGGCGUAUAUGAUCUCGAAGUAUAAACAAACAAGUUUGACGGUUGGAUCGUUGAAACUAGUUUUGGUGAAUGCAUAUGCCAUCAAAACAAUAUAUUCACUAACAAUUAAGAGUUUAUUUAUACGUUCGUUAAAUAUAACAUAAGAUUUUGUGGUAUCCACUAGUGUAAAUAUUUUAUAUUGAAGAUCAAAUUCAGUCAUUGUAUUCAUAUAGGGUCAAGGAGUGUAGCUGUAAAAAAUCAUCAAAAUCGGAGUUAAAAUAACCAUUAAAUCAUGAUUUUUCAUUUAUAACCGUAAAAAAGUUUUGUCCCGUUACUUGAUCUCUGAAUGUUUAUUUUUUCCGAUUUUUGGCGUAUAUGAUCUCGAAGUAUAAACAAAAAAAUUUGACGGUUGGAUCGUUGAAACUAGUUUCGUAGAAUGUGUAUGCCAUCAAAAUAAUCUAUUCACUAACAAUUAAGAGUUUUUUUUUAUACUUUCGUUAAAUAUAACAUAAGAUUUUGUGGUAUCCACUAGUGUAAAUAUUUUAAAUUGAAGAUCAAAUUCAGUCAUUGUAUUCAUAUAUGGUCAAGGAAUGUAGCUGUAAAAAAAAUCAUCAAAAUCAGAGUUAAAACAACCGUUAAAUCGUAAUUUUUCAUUUAUAACCAUCGAAAAGUUUUGUCCCGUUACUAGAUCUCUGAAUGUUUGUUUUUUGCGAUUUUUGGAGUAUACGAUCUUGAAGUAUAUACAAACAUGUCUGAUGGUUGGAUCUUUGAAUGGUGUGUGUAUAUAUAUUUAUUUAUUAAGUGCCUUUAAAUUUAUUUAUUUUGUACGUAUAACACUUAAGAAAUUGAAUAGUAUAUAUAUUUAUUAAGCAGCUUUAACCUUAUUUAUAUUUUAAAUUGUAAAAUAAAAUAAUUUUAUUUUUAUUAUUCAUAACAAUUAUUUUUAUAAAUAUUGUGCUACGAACCAAUUUUUCGUCUCUCAAAAGUUUGUGCGACCAACAGUUUGUCGCGCAAAACUCUAAAAAUUUGGACGGGUACCAAAAAUGGGACGCGGGAUUUUUUAAAAAAAAAAAAAAAUUUAGACUUUGCGCGACCAAUAUUUUUUGUCACUCAAAACUUUGCGCGACCAAUAUAUAUUUUUCGUCUCGCAAAAAUUUGGGCGGGUACCAAAAAUCGGACGCAGGAAUUUUUUUAGACUUUGCGCGACCAAUAUGUAUUUUUCGUCACGCAAAAAUUUAAAAAUUUUGGCGGGUACCAAAAAUGGGACGCGGGGAUUUUUAUUUUUUUAAAAUAAUUUUUUUUAGACUUUGCGCGACCAAUAUUCCUCUAUUCGUCCCGCAAAACUUUGCGCGACCAAUAUGUUUCGUCGCGCAAAAGUUUGCCCGACCAAUAUUCAUUUUCGUCGCGCAAACCUUUGCGCGACCAACAGUAUUUUUCGUCGCGCAAAGUGAUACGGUUUUUAAAACCGAAAUAACUCCUCCACCAUUUUCUCAAUGUCUUUCUCUACUCUUACCUCUCCUUUCUCUUUCCCUUUCCCCAAAUCCCACCAUUUCUCUCACUCACUCCUCUCACUUAAUCUCUCAUCUCUCUCUUCACUAUCUCUCACUCUCUCUCACUCACUCUCUCAUCUCUCUCACUCACUCACUCUCUCAUCUCUCUAUCACUAUCUUCUCUAAUUCUCUCACACUCACUUCUCCCUCUCAUUCUCACUCACUCUCAAUCUUGCCAAAAGGUAUAUUCUCUCCAAAUUUUAAUUUUUUUUCAUUAAUAUGUGUUUUUGGAGUUAAUUUUGAGUUUGUGUGGGUUUUGGGGUUGAGUAAAGGGGAGGGAUUGGAGUUUGGGUUGGAUUUGUGGUAUAACAAUUUUAGGGGAGAUUAUGCCUUCUUUUUUUUUUUGGUUAUUUGACCAUAUUUAUUUUUUUUGUAGGGAAUCAUCGAGACUUUAACGGCUAAAGUUGAGGAUUAGGAAGCUAUCAAAACAUAUCCUCCGCCACUACCACCACAGUACGCUUGUAUUAGGAUUUUAUUAUUGUACUUUGUUAAUUUAUGUGUAUAUUUUGAAUAUUAUAUAUAUUUAUUGGAUAAUUUGAUCACUAUUUUUCAUAUGUAAUUUUAUUUUGAAUAUGUCAAUUUAAAUUAAAGUAAUUAAAAAAAUCAUACAAUUAAAUUAAAUUUAAAAAGUAAAAACUUGAAAAAAUUAAUAUCAAUUUAAAUUAAAGU